rnacentral:rRNA from 1 species
UGAGGAAUAUUGGUCAAUGGACGCAAGUCUGAACCAGCCAUGCCGCGUGCAGGAUGACGGUCCUAUGGAUUGUAAACUGCUUUUGUACAGGAAGAAACCCUCUUUCGUGAAAGAGAUUGACGGUACUGUAAGAAUAAGGAUCGGCUAACUCCGUGCCAGCAGCCGCGGUAAUACGGAGGAUCCAAGCGUUAUCCGGAAUCAUUGGGUUUAAAGGGUCCGUAGGCGGUUUUGUAAGUCAGUGGUGAAAUCUGGUCGCUCAACGAUCAAACGGCCAUUGAUACUGCAAGACUUGAAUUACUAGGAAGUAACUAGAAUAUGUAGUGUAGCGGUGAAAUGCUUAGAUAUUACAUGGAAUACCAAUUGCGAAGGCAGGUUACUACUAGUGGAUUGACGCUGAUGGACGAAAGCGUGGGGAGCGAACAGG